rnacentral:tRNA from 1 species
AUAGCUAGUGGUAGAGCACGUGCUUAGCAUGCACGAGGUCCUGGGUUCAAUCCCCAGU